GUAGCUCGGUGGCAAAGCACCCUUGGGUUCAAUUGCCAGGACUGGAAAAAAGGGGAAAAGAGUGGAUAAGUGACAGUCUAGUAUAGAAGACAGAGGUUAGAUUUCAAGAAUCAGACUUCAAAGAGGCAGCAGUGCUAACACGUAUGUUCAAUUUACUAUGUAUCUGACACUGUUCCAGACACUUUGCGAAUUUGAAUUUGUUGAAUCUUAGUGGUGUCACAAGGUGUUCUGUAUAAUUAUCCCUGUUUUACAGAUGGGAAAACUGAGGUAUAGGGAGGUUUAUUGACUUGCCCAUGGUUAAUGAGUAGUAGAACGACCUGGACUGUAGCCUCAGGUUGAAUACAUAGCAUCACGAGAGUGAUAGACUCUAGCCCCUCCAUGUGUCUCUUGGUGUCUCUCUCACUUCCUCUUGGACCAUUCAAUCUAGGGCAUCCAAUCCAGUUGCAGUUCAAGGGUGACUUGUUCCUGGGCCUCACAAAAAUCCCUUGAGGUAGGUAGAUAUUAUUACUGCCUAUGGUUGAGGAAACUGAGGCUCAGUGAGUGUAAGGUACUCACUGAGUGUAAAGUACUCACAGUGCUAAGAAGUAACAGAGGCAGGACUGAAGCCCAAUUCAGAUACCUAUUCUGUCACCAGAAGAGUGGCUGUAGGCAGGAUCAGGCCAGUAGCUCAGAGCCAGGAGCAAGGACCUAUUUUGAUUGUCCCUUCACUUUGAUGGCUCCUGGGUCCCUUGUGCACUCUUUCCCUCUCACUUCACAGGCCAUCCCAACCAUGUUGUCCCUUUCCAGACUGCCUCCCUGAUUGGGACCCCUCCCUGUGAAUGGGUAGUACUUUGGAUAAAAAAAGCUGUGGGGCUGCGGCUCAGUGGUGCCAUGCCAGCCCAGCCUGCAUGAGACCCUUGGUUAGGUUCCCAGCAUCGCAAAGAAAGCCCCCAAACCAAAACCCCUCCAGUUUCUUUUGUGGAGGGAGUUCAGGGCCAGGCCACCCUGCCUAACUUUACAGGUGCCACAGCAAGGGCUCCUGGGCCCUGGCGAGAGCUCACGGGCAGGCCGUUGUGCCCGUUCCUCUGCAACUCAGAAGGUCCAGGGCUCAGUCAGGUCUGAGGAGUGGGUGGAGUGUUGGCAGCCGCUCACGUGCCCUACCCACAGAGUGACCGCAUGUGUAUCCCUUCCUGGGAGCACAGCUGGGUUUCUUCCUUCCUCUGCCCUGCCCCUCCAGGCCUGGGUGCUCAUGAUUACAGGAGAGAGGAGCCAUUUCCUUUAUUGACCCACCCCCUCUGUCAGCUCAUCAGAAACAUGCUUGGAUCCAAAAUUCUGGGUAUUUUAAUCCUCCCUCAAUUCAAAAGCAAAGAUAACCAUUGUCAUAAUUAAAAAAGAUUUUGUGUGGAAGGACUGUGUGAUUUGACUUUAUAUAUGUGUGUUUGCUUAUUGUAUAUAUGUAUAUUUUCCCCCUUUGUGGACUGUGCAUGUCUCUAUUCUCAACUAGUUAG
rnacentral:lncRNA from 1 species